GCUGGGCAUGGUGGUGCACACCUGUAGUCCCAGCUACUCAGGAGGCUGAGGCAGGAGGAUCACUUUAGCCCAGGAGUUCUAGGUGCGCUGUGCCGAUUGAGUGUCCACACUAAGUUUGGCAUUGAUAUGGUGACCUCCUGGGAGCAGGGCAGCACCAGACUGCUUAAGGAGGGGUGAACCAGCCCAGGUCAGAAAUGGAGCAGGUCCAAAUUCACAAGCUUGUUCAGUAGUGGGAUUGUGCCUGUGAAUAGCCACUGCACUCCAACCUGGGCAAUGUAGCGAGACCUCGUCUCU
rnacentral:SRP_RNA from 1 species